GUUCACUUUGAUUUCAGGUUGGUGUGCAUACACAUCCUUCAAGUGAUGCUAGAAUAAAUAGGAAAAGAAAGGACCAACAAGGAGCACUCCAAGAUAAUGCUGCAAGACAGAAGUGUUCCAAAUAUACACGACCUCAGCGAAUUAAGGAUGGAACCACAGUGAUACUUAAGUCUGCAAGUUAUCCAAAUAAGGCAAUCGUGGCCUAUGCAACCAUUUUGAGCUCUAGUCCAAAAGCAAAAGUUGGUGGAGUUGAGAUAGGAAAGCAAUUCUACAAAGUGCGUAUCAAUCAUCCUAUUAUACAAGAUGAGCCAUUAGUAAGGCCCACAAGUGGAUACAAGAAAAUUGGUGAUGCCCAUGCCAAAGGAGCACCGAUUGCUUGGCCUUUGAUCUGUGUUGAAAUGAUCAAUGGAUGAAUAUAUGUACUUGGAUAUGCACACACACAUGGACUGUGAAGACAAGAAUUUCAAGAAUACUGCUUAUUUUUUGCAUUUCAUUUCUUGUACCAAAAAUUUGUAAAUAUUUUCUCUUCUUAAUCAUAUCAUUGUGUAAAUAUACUUUACAUUAUGUGAACAAAGAC